rnacentral:rRNA from 1 species
UACGUGCGGGGCGAACGUUGUUCGGUGUCACUGGGCUUAAAGGGUGCGUAGGUGGUUGCGUAAGUAACGUGUGAAAUCCCUCGGCUUACCCGGGGAAUUGCGCGUUAUACUGCGCGACUUGAGGAUUUCAGGGGAAUGGGGAACUCCAGGUGUAGCGGUGAAAUGCGCAGAUAUCUGGGGGAAGGCCGGCGGCGAAGGCGCCAUUCUGGGAAAUUCCUGACACUGAGGCACGAAAGCGUGGGGAGCAAACAGG